rnacentral:sRNA from 2 species
AGCUGAACCGGGUCGGCCGCGCGGGUGACGACGAGGUAGUCCCGCAGCGCGAUGCCGUGCCGGUUCUC